CAAUCAAUUUGUUCUUAAGAAAUAUCUCAAUGGUUAUGAUACACUUACAAGUUAAAUUGUGUCAAAAACAUAAUGGUAAAACAUGGAUAUCGUCGAUCCAGACACGAAAAUAUAAAAAUAAAAACAUCAUUGUAAAAACAAUACCGUAUGAGAUUCCCAUCGAAGUUAAUAACUUGAGUAAAUGAGUUUUCCGAUCAAAGUGUAAACGACGUGAAGAAUGCCUAAUGAAAGACAUGCGUGAGAAAAUAACUGAAACGUCCACGAUCCACCAUAUGUAUCAUAUAACACGCCACCAAUCAAAGCUCCUAACGACACACCUGUGAAAUAUAAAAUAUGUUUAAUAAUCCAAAAUAUGUUAUUGCAUUUUUAUUAAAGGAUAAAAUU